rnacentral:rRNA from 1 species
GACGAACGCUGGCGGCGUGCUUAACACAUGCAAGUCGAACGGUGAACGAGGGAGCUUGCUCCCUCCGGAUCAGUGGCGAACGGGUGAGUAACACGUGAGCAAUCUGCCCCGAACUCUGGGAUAAGCGUUGGAAACGACGUCUAAUACCGGAUACGACGCGGGAGGGCAUCCUCUCCGCGUGGAAAGAACUUCGGUUCGGGAUGAGCUCGCGGCCUAUCAGCUUGUUGGUGAGGUAACGGCUCACCAAGGCGACGACGGGUAGCCGGCCUGAGAGGGUGACCGGCCAAACUGGGAAAGAAACCCGGCCGAGCCCCCGCGGGGGGGAGGCAGUGGGGAAUAGUGCAAAAGGGGCGCAGGCUGGACGCAGCAACGCGGCGGGAGGGAGGAGGGCUGUCGGUUUGUAAACCUAUUUUACCGGGAAAGAACGGAAAGGGCGGGUCGCGGAAAAAAAAGCCCGGGCAAACCCCGGC